UGAGGAAUAUUGCUCAAUGGCCGCAAGCCUGACGGAGCGACGCCGCGUGAAGGAUGAAGUCCCUCGGGAUGUAAACUUCAAUAGUCUGAUAGGAAGUAACCCGGUCGAACAGGCCGGGAAGUUGACCAGCAGAUGAAAGGGGCGGCUAACUCCGUGCCAGCAGCCGCGGUAAGACGGAGGCCCCUAGCGUUGUUCGGAAUUAUUGGGCUUAAAGCGCGUGUAGGCGGGUCGGUAAGUGCCUUGUGAAAUCCCCGGGCUCAACCUGGGAAUUGCUCGGCAUACUGCCGGUCUUGAGGCAGGUAUGGGUCACUGGAACCUUAGGUGUAGCGGUGAAAUGCGUAGAUAUCUAAGGGAACGCCGGUGGCGAAAGCGGGUGACUGGGCCUGUCCUGACGCUGAGACGCGAAAGCGUAGGGAGCAAACG
rnacentral:rRNA from 1 species